UCCGUUACUACCACCCAGUACCGGGAGUGGUUGUGUGGAUUCCUAUAAAGCCAGUCCCACGAAGGGUGCUCUCAGGGCAGUUCCUCGUUAGUAUAGUGAGUUUCUUUUUACGGGAACCUGAGAAGCCCUGGAGUCAGCAGUCCCUGAGGUGAAGGGACCCGAGCACCUGCUUCUUACCUACCUAAAAAAGGAACGAGGGAAAUGGAAACCAGCUACUCUGAGAUUUGAGAGUAAAAGGCUGGACACAGACUGACCAUCUGUCUUGAUGCUGACCCGGUCAGCAGGAACAUGGUUGUAAGUUUGUAUGGCAGUGACAUUAGACAGGAAACUAUAUUUAAUUUGCUGGCUUCUUAGAUGAAGAAUUAACACCCCAUAAUAAACAAGCACUUAGAACAAA